rnacentral:lncRNA from 1 species
UUAAAGAUCUUAAGACUGGUCCAGAUUCAGAUUCGUUUGUACCCGACUAUGUCACUUCCGUUCGUUUUGAGUCACCAUACGUGGUCACUUAACAGUGAAUUAUUGCCCUGUAUCGUGGGGGCUGGAACAUGUGGACUUUCUAGAUGGUCACAUGUUCUAAAAGAAUUUCCGGUACCGAGUUUGAUCCCUCAUGGGGUAAAAGCCCCCAAUGCGGCCACGUGUCCUGGUGUAAACAUCACAUCGCCCUUGUUUUUGAACUUAGGUUUCAUUGACGCUUGAUUUUGAUUUUCAACCUUUCACUGCGGAAUAUAUUUUUGACCGACAUAUUUUUCUACGUUAGAGCGUUGCGCAGUCAGAGGAUUAAUUAUUUUUACUUUGUUUUGAUUUAUUUAGGUAUUAAGUUUUAUUUUUUUUUUUGAGUUGUAUUUAGAGUCAUCUCUUCCCCAAGCAUUCUUGGGCACGCUUCUGUGAGGUGUCUGUUUUCAGGGAACUUCUGAAAGUUUCUGAGAGGCAGUAGUGUGAGUCUCAACGGCGCAGCCAAUUCCAUCCGACAGCGAAAAGGGCCUCUACCUCAGGUGUGAAAGGAACGUUUUCGUCCUGGGUGCUAUCACGGUGGUGUGGAAGAAGGUGGAUUACUCUUUAGAUUAGGUGUAGGUUUUGUAACAGCAUUCGUGUUCAUGCUUGUUACUAAUUUCGUAACCAUGAAUUCUUUUUUAUGGGCAUUUUGUAGAGACUUGGUUAGUUUGUCUCUCUUGCAUUAACCAUUAGUAUCAUUGGUCAAUAGCACAAUGGUUUCGUCGUGAAGAAAUUUAGGGGCUAAAUUUCUUGGAAGCGAGGGGGGGAUUGUUACGUUUAAAAAUCUACCCAGCAAACCCUGUGUUGCAAGCCUGCUUCAUUUAGUACAGAUUAAUAAAUAAUGUUAAAAACCUACUUGCCUUAAGUAUUUCAUAUUUAAACAUGAUCAAUUUUAAGAUUCCUAUUCCGGCGGCAGUCUUACUUUCCUUAUUUCAAUAUAAGAAAGAUAAAUAUCCUUGCUUACAAUAAAUUUGUUAAAAUAAACCUUCAAUAAUUUCAAAUUUCAAUUUCAAUUGUUGGUUUUAACCAGGAAAUUAUUAUUCACUUUUUAUCACCUUUUAAUGUAAAAUAGUUUAUGCUUUCAUUAUAUUAUUUACUAAUCAUUUGAGGUUAGAAUCUGCUUCUUUUACUUUUGAAGUCGUUUUAAAUUCUGUCAAGACUAGUGUGAACCGAGGCAGUGUUGUUCUAUGGUUCAUGGGACUACCUAUUUUUUGAAUUUCUGUGUUCGGGAGAAAGGUGGCAUCUCUCAUAGCUGACUUGCGAGCUUCCUUUUGAAUUUGAAAGAGAUGCGUCUUUGAAUCGUGUAAUUUAGGUAAAAUUUGUAUGCCAAUUAUUUUGAGGCAUCUGGCUUUCCUGGAUAAAUUUACCUAUUACACAUAGUGGGGCUAGAUAAUAGAUGUAGUGUGUAUUGGAUAUUUUAGUAUUUAGCCCAAGCCGAAAAGGGAUUAUUUGUUCAAAGACGUGGUCACUUCGCACGCUAGGCAGCGCUGUGUAUGAGGUCUAUAUAGGGAGUAUUAUUUGGAUUAGAGAAGCUCCAUAGGAGAGCAUAGCGUGGUUGACCGUAGUAAAAACCCCGAUAGGCUUAAGCGGUAAGUAAUUCAUGCAAUGAUUAGAUUCUUUAUGUAUUGAGGGACAGACAACCAGUGUCUUAAUUUAUUUAGUGUUUAUUGAAGCCCGUUGGCUAGGGGUUUAUUCUUGAUUUGUUGCUAAGCCUCCUACAAUGUAGAUGACAUUGCAAGCUAACUUCUAGGCUAUGUUAUAAGUGGUAAAAGCCUGUUUAAAUAAAAUCAGUAACAAACUUAUUGAAAUAUUUAUAUUAUACCAGGGGGUUACGAGAAGAACCUAGUUGAAAUAUAUUUAUUGAUAUGGAACAGAUUUAGUGAUUCAUAGCACCGUACGAGAUGACAAUAUUACUUCGAUGGAUGCAACUGUCAAUUGGGAAUUGAGUAGGCAAUGGGUUUAGCAACCGAGAAUAAACGUUUAAAUAAAUUCAUUGUAAUAAGUGUCUAAUGAGUUUUGUUUUUAUUUUAGGGGUUUUUAUUUUUAUUUUUUUUUGGAGUUUUGGAGUUCGUUUUACUUGGAGUUUUCGUUUUUGGAUUUUUGUAUAUGGUUUCUGGUUUUACUUUUUGUGGAUGUUUUUGGUUACAUUUGGAUGCUAAGAGUCGUCAUUGGAUACAAGUAUAUGUGGUGAAGAAGAUUUCUACUAACGAAUUGUAGUUUGUUACCAGACUAUGGAGGAUAUCAGGUUUUUAUAACAAUGUUAAACAUUUAAAUUCAUUUGUCUUAUUUAUUUUAUAUUAUUUAAUGAUAGUAAAUAUUUUAGGUUCUUUUUUUGUUAACAAAUUAACGUGUUCCUUUUUUUUAUUAUUAUUAUUAAAAUUUAUUGGGGAUAGUCAUACAUUCAACUUUAUAUACAUAUAACUUAUUAUAGAGGUCAUUAUAGUACAUUACUUUUUAGAUUUGUAUUAGUGGCACUCAUGAGCUCAUGCAGCAACUAUAGGGUAGGCACUAGUAUCGCCAAUGUUUAAAAUAUUUCUAAUCUGUAAAUUUAAAUUAUUUUGAUAUUCAUUUCCUUAGCCACUUUAUGCUACCAAUGACUGGACUUGUUUAUUUUCAUAUUUAUUUGUGUUGCAACUGUUUAAUAAAUAAAUGUAAGUAAACCUA